rnacentral:rRNA from 1 species
UACGUAGGGUGCAAGCGUUAAUCGGAAUUACUGGGCGUAAAGCGUGCGCAGGCGGUUAUGUAAGACAGUUGUGAAAUCCCCGGGCUCAACCUGGGAAUUGCAUCUGUGACUGCAUAGCUAGAGUACGGUAGAGGGGGAUGGAAUUCCGCGUGUAGUAGUGAAAUGCGUAGAUAUGCGGAGGAACACCGAUGGCGAAGGCAAUCCCCUGGACCUGUACUGACGCUCAUGCACGAAAGCGUGGG